CCUACGGGGGGCAGCAGUAAGGAAUAUUGGUCAAUGGACGAAAGUCUGAACCAGCCAUCCCGCGUGCAGGAUGAAAGCCCUAUGGGUUGUAAACUGCUUUUAGCAGAGAAGAAAAGCUUUCAUUAAUGAGAGUCUGACGGUAUCUGCAGAAUAAGCACCGGCUAACUCCGUGCCAGCAGCCGCGGUCAUACGGAGGGUGCGAGCGUUAUCCGGAAUUACUGGUUUUAAAGGGUAGGAAGGCGUCAUAUGUGAAAUCUUGUCGCUGAACGAUAAAAUUGCCAAUGAGACUGGUACUCUUGAAUUGGGUUGAGGUUAGCGGAAUGUGACAUGUAGCGGUGAAAUGCAUAGAUAUGUCAUGGAACACCAAUUGCGAAGGCAGCUAACUGGGCCUUGAUUGACGCUGAGGCACGAAAGCGUGGGUAGCGAACAGGAUUAGAUACCCGAGUAGUC
rnacentral:rRNA from 1 species